GCAAGAAGAGUUGUUAGUGGUGUGCUCAC
rnacentral:piRNA from 1 species